ensembl:lncRNA
CAACUGUGGAACUGAUAAAUCUUAUUAUUUCAAUCAGAGAUAUAAGAUGCAUCAACUACCAGGUCCUUACUGAUUUGUUCUUCACUUAUUUUUAAGUAACAGCACAAAUUUAUUAUUAAAGUCCUUCCAUAUUCUAUUCAACAGAGAAUCCCACUGACAUUGGAGCUGCAAUCGUUGUUCUAGUUAUCGUUUCCAUUGCAGUUGUGGUAAUCGUGGCAGCCGUGGCAGCUGUGGCAGUCGUUACCAAAGAGGAAAGGUGAGAUCUCAGUUGUGGAAAUGCAGAGUUUAUUUUUUGAAUUUGUGUUUUAAUCCAUACUCCCAAAUUUGCACUUUUUAAAAAUAUAUACAGCCAGCUCAAAAAUCAAAACACACAAACAGGUUAUAGAAUUUGGCAUUUAGUAUGUGAAGAAGAAAUAUGUUCUUUUUGAAUGCAGCUGUCCAAAUCCCAUAAAUCCCAUCCCACAUAUAUAAUAUAGAUCAAACAUAAAAAGUUUAUAAGUUAGACAGAUUAAAAAAAAUGUUAUAUUUACUUUGUCACUUCAUGUCAUUUCUGAUAAUUAUGUAUUAUUCAUGGCUUUUUGCUAAUGCUGCUUCUCUAUAUUUAUCUUCUAACUGGUUUGACCGACACUGCUCACUUGUUGAGCGGGGCAGUGUUUGUAAACACAAAAAGAUAAUCACUUUGUAUUAUACCUUUAAAAAGGCUAGAACAUAUCCAGACACAACAGUUCCAGACAGUAGAUUGCCUUCGUGUGGCCGUCUUCACCACUUCGGGAAAUGUUCCCACUCACCUCAUGGAAACGCUUACAUCAAGUAUGCCUCAAUGAAUUUUGAAGUGAUUAACAAUAACGGUGGAGCUACUCAUUAUUGAGUUCAUGUUUGGAACUUUGAUUUCUGUUUUGGGGAGUUUAUGGGUUUUUUUGCAGGUGUGGUCCUAAACUUCUGAUCAGCUGUAAAACAGCCUGUUUCAGUUUAAGUGUUGGUUUCGAUAAAUUGCAUGCUCAAAAAAUGUUUUGUCUCAUUUCUUCUUGUUGCGUGUUGAAGCUCGACUUGGAACCUUGUGAAGAUCCAACCAUGCAAAAUAUGAUUUUUUUUGCCAUUUUUCAACUGGUCUUUAAACUUUUGAUCGGGACUGUAUGACAAGUCGCACUGACAAAAAUCUGCUGUGAGCCCUAAAGGGAGAUUUACAGAGUCUCUGCUGCCAUCUCGUAGACUUAGGAUGAAAACUUUUUUUUUUUUUUUAAACAAAUCAAGCUUUGAAGAAAUGACAGCCAUAAACCCAUUUCCAUUUCUGCUCUAACAUUACUUACUACUCAAACAUCCCCAUAGUUUUAUUUGUGUCAGGGACCUGGAUCUGAGUGAUCCAGGGUCCAUGAGCAGUUAUGGACUGAUAUAUGAUGUAUGUUUGCUGCACUGUGCUGCUAUUCUUGUGUUCUCCAUGCUUGUAUGUAUAGGCAAGUGGGUGUGUCUGUGAGUGUGGCUGAGCACUGGGUUUCAGGCAGGCCUGGUAGGUGUGUCCCAUCUGGAGGCUGGCCACGCCUGAAGCGGAUGAUCACACACACCUGCAGCUAAUGAAGCCUCAUCGGGGAGCUACUUAAGAGUGUGGCCGAGCGCUCCUCGGCGCGGGAUUGUUGUGUGAGACUCCACGUCAGUGGUCUUUGUGAGGCAAGUUAAGUGAUAUCCUGAUGGUUGCUUCUUUGUUAUUUUAUCCAGGAAGGAGCGUGGAAGACAAGAGCAGUGAGCACGGGGUGGCGGGACACACAGGAGUGGAAGAGCACGGACUUGUGGGUGGAAGACACGACAAGGGAGUCAAGGGAACACACGGGGACUUAUUAUUCUGUGGAUUAUUUACACCACUGUAAAUAAAUGCACUGUUUAUCAUAAAGAGUCCAGCAUUUGGGUCCUUCUUCCUCACAUCCCCACGGUUGGCCAGUGCUAACCGUGAUAAUUUGUGAGUCUACACAGUUAUGAAUCCACAGUACAAAGAUAAAUUCAAAACACAGUUUGCACUGAAAUAAUAUACAAACACAGCCUUGUGUUUGCAUUCAAGUAGUGAGCCAUAUAAUGUCCAUUCAACAAGUCAGCGAAAAAAUAGGGUGCACAUCAAUCAACAGUAAAUAAAAAAACAAAUGCAUUAAUGCUUCAAUAAUGUAAAGUCAAGGUCUUAUAAUUACGUCCUGUUUCAGGGUCCCCAUUGUAUUCCAGGUAAUGGCUCUCUCCAUUUCAACGCAUAAUCUACCAGAAGAACGAAUGGUUAUCACAAAGACUUUUAAAAAUCUUCACCUUAAUAGCAUAGAUCACAUAAGAAAGAAUAACAGAAUAUGCUUUACUUACCAGAUCGAAGAAUUACGGAGAAAUCUGAAACACAAAAAAUUAAUGUCUCUGUCCCCUUGUUGAACUCUCUCCUACCACACUUAGAGGUUUAUAAAAACAUUUAUUCUAAUACUGUUUCCACUUUGAUUGUAAUCUUAACACUUUUCCCUUGUUGUGUCAAAGUACUGAAAUAUACAGGAAAUGACAAUCCAGCCUGAACAACAUUAUGUUCAAUUAUAGUUAAACAAAAGUAUAACUUCUGUCAACAUAACCCUUAUAAGACUACAUAUCAGAAUAUAAUGUAAACAUCAGGUAGGCAACAAUACAUGACAUACAUUAUUAUACCAUGUCAUUAUUUAACAAAAAUGCAGAAGCAGUCCUGUGAAAAUCUAAGUACACCCUUACUGCUUUAAUAGGAGUUAAGAUAGUAAGUAACAGCCAGAUGCUGCUAAUUAAAUACAUGUGAUUAACUGAUUAUAAGUAAGUGUGAACACCUAUCAAAGCAGAACAAUUUUUUCAGAUUGCUGGUCUGGAACAUUCAUUGUCAAUCAUUUUAUUCUGUUCAUUCACUGUAUUGUUGGAAACCAUUGCCAAGCUUUGCAAUGUGUGGACGUUCUAGCAGAUUCACUAGAAGGGCAAAUGGUGUGUAAGGUUGUGGAGUAGACCCAGAUGCAGACAAGGAAAACCAUUAACUUAACUGAAACUAACUUAUAUUGUAGUUGUGGCAGCAAACAGAUAAUGCUGUAGGAAACGUAAGUUCAAUAAUCCAAAAAAUAGCAUGGAGCAAUGCAAGGACCGACAAACAGUACAAAACCACAAUGAACAGUUGGAGAUAGAGAGAAUAAAUAGAGCCAUAGGACAACAAGCAGAUGGCCAAUAGGUGGGAAAACAGCUGACAACAAUUAAGGAGGACAAGACAUGGAAAAAUUAAACAGCACACAGGGGACAAAGACUAAAAAAAUAAAAUGGGAAAUAAC